rnacentral:rRNA from 1 species
GAAUUCACUAGUGAUUCAGGCCUAACACAUGCAAGUCGAGCGAACCCUUCGGGGUGAGCGGCGGACGGGUGAGUAACGCGUGGGUAACCUGCCCUGUACACACGGAUAACAUACCGAAAGGUAUGCUAAUACGAGAUAAUAUAUUUUAAUCGCAUGGUUAAAAUAUCAAAGCUCCGGCGGUACAGGAUGGACCCGCGUCUGAUUAGCUAGUUGGUGAGGUAAUGGCUCACCAAGGCGACGAUCAGUAGCCGACCUGAGAGGGUGAUCGGCCACACUGGAACUGAGACACGGUCCAAACUCCUACGGGAGGCAGCAGUGGGGAAUAUUGCACAAUGGGCGAAAGCCUGAUGCAGCAACGCCGCGUGAGCGAUAGAGGCCUUCGGGUCGUAAAGCUCUGUCCUCAAGGAAGAUAAUGAC